GUAGGGAAUAUUGGGCAAUGGUCGGAAGACUGACCCAGCCAUGCCGCGUGCAGGAAGACGGCCCUCUGGGUUGUAAACUGCUUUUAUCUGGGAAGAAAAAGGCCAUGCGUGGCAAAUUGCCGGUACCAGAUGAAUAAGCACCGGCUAACUCCGUGCCAGCAGCCGCGGUAAUACGGAGGGUGCGAGCGUUGUCCGGAUUUAUUGGGUUUAAAGGGUGCGUAGGCGGCUGAUUAAGUCAGCGGUGAAAGACUUCGGCUUAACCGGAGCAGUGCCGUUGAUACUGGUUGGCUUGAGUGUCGGAGGGGUACAUGGAAUUGAUGGUGUAGCGGUGAAAUGCAUAGAUACCAUCAGGAACACCGAUAGCGAAGGCAUUGUACUGGCCGACAACUGACGCUGAUGCACGAGAGUGUGGGGAUCGAACAGGAUUAGAAACCCCUGUAGUCC
rnacentral:rRNA from 1 species